rnacentral:lncRNA from 1 species
GGUCACUGUACCCUGGAUGACGAGUGGCCAGUCAAACAAAGCCUCUUUCACACAUUUUGAAUUUGAGACUUUUCAGAGGACUAAGCCAAAAAGUUGGGCCGAAAAAGGCAGACGUCCUGAGAGGAGUCUGCAAGCCAUAUCCACACGGCAGUGGGAGCCACAACUAAGCGGGAGCCAUGGAGGAGAGAAAAGGAAUGCAGAGAGGAUUUAGCAGCACGAGCAGAGAAAGCAGGGCAGAGCGUGGCUGAGUCAUCACACUGGCAGAGCACUAGAGAAGGAGCAACAGAUGCUUGCCGUUGAAGCAAUGUCAAGAAGAACAGGUGGCUGGA